rnacentral:rRNA from 1 species
CCUACGGGAUGCUGCAGUGGGGAAUAUUGGACAAUGGGGGCAACCCUGAUCCAGCCAUGCCGCGUGUGUGAAGAAGGCCCUCGGGUUGUAAAGCACUUUCAGUGAGGAAGAACGCCUGGUGGUUAAUACCCAUCAGGAAAGACAUCACUCACAGAAGAAGCACCGGCAAUCCGUGCCAGCAGCCGCGGUAAUACGGAGGGUGCGAGCGUUAAUCGGAAUUACUGGGCGUAAAGCGCGCGUAGGUGGCUUGAUAAGCCGGUUGUGAAAGCCCCGGGCUCAACCUGGGAACGGCAUCCGGAACUGUCAAGCUAGAGUGCAGGAGAGGAAGGUAGAAUUCCCGGUGUAGCGGUGAAAUGCGUAGAGAUCGGGAGGAAUACCAGUGGCGAAGGCGGCCUUCUGGACUGACACUGACACUGAGGUGCGAAAGCGUGGGUAGCAAACAGGAUUAGAUACCCUAGUAGUC